AAUAUACUUCAGGGUCAGGUGAAAAUCCUAACCGGCGGUGAAACAUACUUGAUAUGGUAAGCCCGCGACCUGCGAUAGCAGCUGAUCUGGUUUGAAUCCAGAGCCGACCGUAAAGUCGGGUAUAAAGAAGUUAAAA
rnacentral:ncRNA from 1 species